rnacentral:misc_RNA from 1 species
UACGGAGGGAGCUAGCGUUGUUCGGAAUUACUGGGCGUAAAGCGCACGUAGGCGGCUAUUCAAGUCAGAGGUGAAAGCCCGGGGCUCAACCCCGGAAUAGCCUUUGAAACUAGAUAGCUAGAAUCUGGGAGAGGUGAGUGGAAUUCCGAGUGUAGAGGUGAAAUUCGUAGAUAUUCGGAAGAACACCAGUGGCGAAGGCGGCUCACUGGACCAGAAUUGACGCUGAGGUGCGAAAGCGUGGGGAGCAAACAGG